AUUGAACGCUGGCGGCAUGCUUUACACAUGCAAGUCGAACGGCAGCGCGGGCUUCGGCCUGGCGGCGAGUGGCGAACGGGUGAGUAAUACAUCGGAACGUGCCCAGUAGUGGGGGAUAGCUCGGCGAAAGCCGGAUUAAUACCGCAUACGACCUGAGGGUGAAAGCGGGGGAUCUUCGGACCUCGCGCUAUUGGAGCGGCCGAUGGCAGAUUAGCUAGUUGGUGGGGUAAAGGCCUACCAAGGCGACGAUCUGUAGCUGGUCUGAGAGGACGACCAGCCACACUGGGACUGAGACACGGCCCAGACGCCUACGGGAGGCAGCAGUGGGGAAUUUUGGACAAUGGGCGAAAGCCCGAUCCAGCAAUGCCGCGUGUGUGAUGAAGGCCUUCGGGUUGUAAAGCACUUUUGGCGGGAACGAAAAGGACUGUGCCAAUACCACGGUUCGAUGACGGUACCCGCAGAAUAAGCACCGGCUAACUACGUG
rnacentral:rRNA from 1 species